GCCCUUGUAGCCCAACGGAAGAGGCACCGGACUCAGAAUCCGGUCAGUCCAGGUUCGAAUCCUGGUAAGGGCA
rnacentral:tRNA from 1 species